AUGCUCUUCCAGCCAGCCGGCUCAGAUCACAGAGCCUUUAGGGCCACAGGGAAUGUCAUCUUGAAGACACACCCGCAUUGGGCACUCAGCCUGCAAGGUCUUCCUGAGCUCUUGGUCUGGACGCAGCCCCGUCCCUGCCUGGUUGGAGGAGGGCCGACACUGACUGACGUUUCGGGCUCUGUGCAGUGGACGUCAGCCCCAGGCCAGUCCCUGGCAGUGGAGGCACCAUUGACCCCAGCUGCUUCUGCCCCUCCUGCAGGGGGUGCUGUUUGUCAUGCUCUGGCUCUUAGCUGCCCUCCACCUCCACCAUACAGUCUCCAGGCUCCAGACUACCAGGAGACACAGCCCCUCACAUUUCUUUUCCGGGAAAUGUAUGGAUUGGGUGUUUCCCCAAACCACUUGGCCGGCCACCAGGGGGCAGCGCUGGGCAGACCGUGGCUCCGCCGCCGCGUCCGCCCACGCACGGUGAGGCAGGCUUUCUCUUCCCUGUGCCCCAGACGGCGAGUACAAAAAUCACACACGGCUUCGAACUGGAUUAAGUGUGAAGGGCACAAUUAAUACAUUGACUACUCUAGAAAUGUAAAAUUACUAAGCAACAGAUUUAGAAUUAAUACCGAAUCCAAAGGAGACAUCAGCACCCCAUUUCAGUCCAUGUAAUUCACGCUUCCUGGGACCGUUCGUCUUGUUUUUCUUUAGGGGCUUAAAAUAUAUAGAAAACAAAAAGCAGUUAGUCAAGAACUGGGUCCAAGAAAAAAAGGCACUCUCUGUGUUUUCUUCUCAUCAUAUGGGUCUUUUAUUUACAAUUUAAAUGCAGCUUCAUGGACCCUAACUAAGAACAGACCCCAAAGUCCUGCGAAUGCAGCAAAGCCUUUUUUUUUUUAAUAAGCAGAUUAGCCACAACCUUGCCUCCAGACAGGGUUUUGUUGACGUCAGUAUUUAUUGUGCCCAGAACUAUGGCGUCCUCAGAUCUGAUGUCCUGUUAAUAACAUUGCUGUUGGCCAGUCUCGCCUGUGGCACAGGGCAGACACAGCAACUGGACAGGCUUCGAGUUCGUCACAGCAUACAGGCAGUUCCAGUUGGAAAAGGGAGAAACAGCAGGACUCGGGGGACAGCCGCCAGCUACCAGUGACAGACUGCAGGCAGGUACUGCUGCUCGGGAGCCAGCCUCCUCGCCCACCUUCUCUUUAUCCACACAAAGUCCUCUUGGGUCCAGCACCAAGGUUUCUCCUUCCUCAUGAAUCCAAAAGCCUCUGGAACCUGCAGUGUGGGAACUGGCCAGUCCCUGCUGUGUCUCCAUCCUGGGAGGGCCCAGCACUUCCCCAGCCGGUUUGCACUUCACCAUUGCAAGCAGCAGCUCCUUGUAUUCUGCAUGUUUUACACCGUCGUCCAGUCUGCCCCGGAGGGGUCUUGUCUGCUCCGUCAGUGGACUGAAGCCAUCAGCUUCUAAGUUCCUCUCCCCUGGUGCAGGUGUUUGGCAAAUGCCAUCCCGCAUGGGGGUCUUUCCUUCCGUGGCAGUCAUAGAGUGACUUUCUUCUCUGGUGUCACUGAUCAUCGCAAACCAUUUUUCAAAAGAACGGGAGCCCUGACAGAAGCUGGUCCUUGGACUGACAGACGGAAAUCGGUUCGACCCCUCAUUUGUUCGUACCCCUAAUGGUCCUCGGAGAUGUAUGCUUGUCCUGUGGUCUUCACCGUCUUUUCUUCCCAGCCCUUCCCUUCCUUCCAUCUGCAUAACUGCUCAGUAAAGGGCUGCCAAGCUUUCCGGAAGCAGAGGACACAUGGCACGCACACUCCUGAGCCAGUUCCUACAGCCAGCUCUCAUCCCAGUGACAGCAGUGCUUUUAUUAAGACCUGGAAGUUCAAAAAUUCAAACCGCAAAUGUGGACCUGAUGAAUGUCAGGCCUCUGCCAGGGUAGAGGGGCCCUGGGAAGGCAGGACUGUCCCCACCCCUCUGCCAGGGUGACUCGGCCGCCACCCCAGGGAUCAUUCUAAUGCCCUCUCUUGCCAGAGUUGGUGCGGGAGCUGGUGCUUGGAUGAAAGUGCAGACAGCACAGUGUGUGUCCCGCUGUGCCACUCUGACAGAGGGCAGGGCAGGGAUGCCCUGGUGCAGUGCAGAGAAGGCUACACUGUCUUCCUGUCAGGGCAGCCUGUUGAGGGGGAGAGGGUAGUGGUCUCUCUUGACUUCCCUUCAUGCCCCCCACACAGUGUGUGUAACCGACAGGGUGGAGGUGAAGCGGCCAGAAGGGAUGGUCUUCUUUGCCCACCCAGCUCUGAUGACCUCUAGGGCUGGCCAGCACUACCAGCUGCUGGACACUUGGCCUCUCCAAAAACUCGCAACUUCCCCUUCCUCUUCACGAAUGUCCAGGACAACCAUAGACUUAGGGGCCCGAUUGAAUUACCUGCAGCCUGCCUCAGCUCCUUCUUUGCUCUGUGACCUGGGGCAGAUGUUCUUAUCCUCUCUGAGGCGAGGUUUCUUGGUCCACAAACUGCAAUGGUGAUCCUGCCUGUUGAGUGUGAGAGUGUGAGAGUGGCCGGGCUACGCCAGGACAGCCCCAAGCCCACUGCAGGGGCUUCCUGCAGCUCUUCCCAGCCUCAGACCCAGGGCAGAAGUGGCUGCUGCCGUGGAGCCAUUGUCCCUGUCCAUCCUUGUCACAGCAACUUCUCCACUAGGUGGUUGCUCGCUGCCCCUUCCCUGCCUUCUCUCCCACGGGGGAGGAAGUUUGUCUUUCUUGUUCCUGGGUGAAUCCCCGAUAUUUAGCGAGCCCGGCAUAAAGCAGGCUCCCAACCAAUGUUGUGUAAGGAGUGCAUGCUCCGACUGCUGGAAUGCCCUGACCCCCUUCUCUGUCUGAUGCAACUCUCACCUCCCCUGAGGAGUCUUCCUUACCCUGCAAUCCCUGCUUGGGGCAGAGCCCAGUGCUGCCUGCAGUUCUCCCAGGGCACUCCUGGCGGCUCCCUGGGAAUUGCAUAGCAGGAAGUCAUUUCCAUUCCUGGGCGUCUGCUUGCCUGGGUUGCCUGGGCACACAGAGGAGAGCUCCUCUUCUGCAGGGAGGGAAAGGUCCUGGUCACACCCAUGGGCUGGGCCUCCCUGAGCGUGGGGCAAAUGAGACAAAAAUCCUAACAUCCAGGAGCCAAAUUCCUAAGCGAGGAGAUGAAGCACGCAGGGGGUUGGCCAAGGCGGGGGGCAGAUGUGAGCUAAGCCUCUAAGAGGAAGGGAGGCAGGAGGGAGACAGGAGGCGGGAAGGACAGAUGGCAUAGUCUGUACAGACACACCACGGGUCCUGACCAGACCCUGUGCUUCUAUGCGUGUGCUGGUCAGGUGUGUGCCAGGAGCAGAUGUCCACUGGGCUGGCCCAGGUAGGGGGUUGUUCUAAGGUUCUGGGGACUGUUGCAUGGGCACCAGAAAAAAUGGACAGGGUAGGUUCAUGUCUCUGGUAACCAAAACUAUUUGUUUUUGGGAUUGUAAAACUGUGCAACCUAUUUGGAACGUUGUUUGGAAAUUUCUAAUAAAGUUAAAUGUACA
rnacentral:lncRNA from 1 species